UACGGAGGAUGCGAGCGUUAUCCGGAUUUAUUGGGUUUAAAGGGUGCGCAGGCGGCACGGCAAGCCGGCGGUCAAAUCGCGGGGCUCAACCCCGCCCAGCCGUCGGAACUGCCGGGCUAGAGUGGGCGAGAAGUGCGCGGAAUGCGUGGUGUAGCGGUGAAAUGCAUAGAUAUCAGGCAGAACUCCGAUUGCGAAGGCAGCGCACCGGCGCCCUACUGACGCUCAGGCACGAAAGCGUGGGUAUCGAACAGG
rnacentral:rRNA from 1 species